CAUGCGAGUCGAGCGGACAGAUGGGAGCUUGCUCCCUGAUGUUAGCGGCGGACGGGUGAGUAACACGUGGGUAACCUGCCUGUAAGACUGGGAUAACUCCGGGAAACCGGCGCUAAUACCGGAUGCUUGUUUGAACCGCAUGGUUCAGACAUAAAAGGUGGCUUCGGCUACCACUUACAGAUGGACCCGCGGCGCAUUAGCUAGUUGGUGAGGUAACGGCUCACCAAGGCAACGAUGCGUAGCCGACCUGAGAGGGUGAUCGGCCACACUGGGACUGACACACGGCCCAGACUCCUACGGGAGGCAGCAGUAGGGAAUCUUCCGCAAUGGACGAAAGUCUGACGGAGCAACGCCGCGUGAGUGAUGAAGGUUUUCGGAUCGUAAAGCUCUGUUGUUAGGGAAGAACAAGUGCCGUUCAAAUAGGGCGGCACCUUGACGGUACCUAACCAGAAAGCCACGGGUAACUACGUGCCAGCAGCCGCGGUAAUACGUAGGUGGCAAGCGUUGUCCGGAAUUAUUGGGCGUAAAGGGCUCGCAGGCGGUUUCUUAAGUCUGAUGUGAAAGCCCCCGGCUCAACCGGGGAGGGUCAUUGGAAACUGGGGAACUUGAGUGCAGAAGAGGAGAGUGGAAUUCCACGUGUAGCGGUGAAAUGCGUAGAGAUGUGGAGGAACACCAGUGGCGAAGGCGACUCUCUGGUCUGUAACUGACGCUGAGGAGCGAAAGCGUGGGGAGCGAACAGGAUUAGAUACCCUGGUAGUCCACGCCGUAAACGAUGAGUGCUAAGUGUUAGGGGGUUUCCGCCCCUUAGUGCUGCAGUUAACGCAUUAAGCACUCCGCCUGGGGAGUACGGUCGCAAGACUGAAACUCAAAGGAAUUGACGGGGGCCCGCACAAGCGGUGGAGCAUGUGGUUUAAUUCGAAGCAACGCGAAGAACCUUACCAGGUCUUGACAUCCUCUGACAAUCCUAGAGAUAGGACGUCCCCUUCGGGGGCAGAGUGACAGGUGGUGCAUGGUUGUCGUCAGCUCGU
rnacentral:rRNA from 1 species